rnacentral:lncRNA from 1 species
AUUAUUGUGAUUUAUUUGGACAGAUCUGUAGUCUUUCAUGUAUUGCGUGGUCUUCUACCAUCUAUUUGGAUAGUUAUGUUGUUUUGGCUUCGGUGCAGUCAUUUUUCAUAGAGAGACCCUGACAUCGGUUUCCAUUGACAGGGCCUAAACUAUGGGAACCAAACUCCUGGAAAUAUGUGGUUUCAUCAAAGCACAAAUACUGAACAGCGAUACGGAUAUUGUAUACGUUUCCGGAACCAAUUUUUGCAUCUUGAAUUCUGUUGGUUUGUUAGGGUAAAAGAUUGAAAUUUUCGUAUGUUCGUCUUUUUUGAGCUUGUGAAUGUGUUGAUUCCUUGCAGGGUUGCUCAUACGCAUACAAAUGAUCAGCGUGAUCGGUAUAGUUGCCCUCUUCAAGGGAAAUCUUCAGUGUGAAGUUACUCUGUUUUUUUUUCUUUUUUUUUUCUGUUCUUGUGUGGUGCUGGCCGCCACUGUUAGCCAUGGUGUGGUGUGGUGGCAGCACGUACAGUUCACUGUAAUAUAUACUGUUACUGUGUGUUACUAUUUCGCAUCUUUUUACAUAUUCUAUAGAGCAGAACACUAAUGGGUGAUAACUACUAGUGGAACAUUGUGUGUGUUGGUUGUCGAAAAUGUAAGUAGAAUGAGAAAUGGGUGAUAACUACACUAAUGGAUGCAAUAUGGGCUGAAAUCUAAAUUCAAAGCUAUAUCAUGUGUAAGUGACAAGUGUCACAACACCAGAGGUGGGAAGUGACCUUUGCAAAGAGUAACCCUUAACUAGUGAUUUCGAACAAUCAUGAGCAUGUAUGCCACCUGCCAGCCGGUGCACCGUAAACGGAAGACAACCCGGUGAACGGCUCCAGGCAAGGACACGGUGGAUAUAUACCUCCCACACCCGCCGGCCGGUGCAUGCAAGUCAAGUCAAGAAAUAUGUCUUCUUGAUCCAUUCCUGUCUGUUAUAGGGUUGACACAAAUAGAUGAGUGGUAGUAUAAUUUCCUUUUGUACUUUUGGUCAUGUGUUCUUGAUCUGUCUAAUUAGGCAACUAGGGGGCAAAUUCCAUCUGUAUCCCAAUGAUGUGUUCUUGAGCUGUAUUUUACUUGGAGUCUCCAAAAAAACUUAUAUUUAGGAAUGGAGGGAGUAAUAAUUAGGUAGUUAGGCCUAGGCAGCACACAUGCAUGGUCUGUAUACUUGCAUGCGUAAUCAAACCAAAGAUGGCAAUUAGUGCCCUAGGGUUGUAUAAUUAGUGGUAUAAUAAAGUACUGGCUCUGGGGUUGUAUAAUGAGUGCCCUGGGGUUGUAUAAUUAGUGCCCUGGCGCUCUAAUAAUUUUCAUUCAUUCCGAAUAAGAAAAAAGGAGAAGCUCUUUGGCCCAAAGUGUCCACCCGAUCUUUCCGGCCUCCUCGUGGUUCACCGUCGCCACCGCCGCCAUGUGGAGAGGCGGCGCCUCCGCCGCCGACGUGCUGCGGCACUACGGGCGGUGCUACUGGGAGCUCUUCAAAGCCCGCCUCGGGUGCACUGCCGCCCAGUGGCGAAUCUUGGAGGAAAAUCAAGGGCAGACUCAAAGUCAAAGGUCUAAAGAAAAAACCAUUAAGUCUCAAUUAGUUUGUUCAAAGAAGGCUAGAAUUUGUCAUAAUACUACUAGGAACAUGUACUAUUACCUACUAAUUUCUAUUUUACAUUGCUGGAGGGCAGGCUCAAGCCUAUUAAAGCCUGCCCAGUUCAUUCGUCACUGUUGCCGCCUCCACCUCCGACGUGCUGCGGCACUACGGGCGGUGCUACUAGGAGCUCUCCAAAGCCCGCCUCAGGUGCGUGAUCUGCUCCCGUUUCCCUUCACGUUUGAUGUUUUUCAUAUUGAAGUAAAAAUAUACUCUUCAGUUCUUGUGACUAAAUUCUGAAUUAAUGAAUUUUUACGUGCUCUGGGAUUUGGGAAUUAUAACAGCUGAGCACAAACUCAUUAAUACCCCUUAACGUUGAAAGGAUGUAGGAUCUAGUAUGCUUGAUUGCGAACCUUAGGCUUCGUAGUACUGGCUCUGUGAGAUAAACCUGUGAUGCUGUUCAGCAAACAUAUGAUGCUAUGUGACAAACUAGCUGAUGUAGCCCUUUUGUUUAGGAUGUAGAAAUGGAAUUGUAAGUGUAUUGCAGACUGGGUUUGUUUGACACAUGACCUCUCCUCUUCUUCUUGUUCUUGUUUCUUGCUUCACCAUCCAGUUUUGUUGUGCUUUUGGACCCAUGUCCUGAAAUGUUAGGGUUUAGCCAAAACUUUUGUGCGUGGUGGAGAUCCUAGAUAGCAGAUAGUGGCCGCCACCAAAUCAUUACUGCCUUGGUUUGUCCACCUUGACAAUGUAUGCAUAGUGGUCGAUUAGUGGUUUAGUGUGCCCUGUAAAGCUAAGAUGACCUUCAUAGUGGUAAAAAUGAACUAGCAUUUAACUACGUCCUGUUUGUUUUUGUCAAAAGGUGUUUAGUAUCAUUAGUUUUUGCCAUUCAUCAGAUUUCAUAAAUUGUAGUGAUGUUCGUGAGUGUGGUGCGCGUGCUAUGAUGGAUAUGCGACGAAGACAAUGUGUCCGCCCGUGAACCGUGAUAGGUGGGUGGCGUCAUGAUGGGACCCAUAAGCUCGUGGGUGGAGACGGCGUACUUGCACGUGCGACGGUGAGUGACAGAGGGAUGGCUACCGAUGCAGAGACGGCGCGGAGCAGCCGAAUGCAAAGGGUGCUGUCACGGUCGACGACAAUGACUGCAACCUGUGUGUCCGGCCAUCGCGGGGAGCUUGUGCAGCUCACGACGGUGUGCACAUAGGCUGGCAGGGGCCGGGAGCUCGCGGCGGUGCGCACACAGGCCAGCAGGGCCGGGAUGAAGCCGUGUUUGCAGCCAGCGGGCGGAAGCACGUGGCAGCUUGCCUUCGGAAGCUUGUACCACCGUAGGGCUAGAGCGCAGUUGUGUGUGUUACCAGUGGGGCGGCCGCAUGAGGCGGCAUCUUCCACCUCUAUCUCGUGGGCGGCAUGCUGGGGCGCGCACCCGAGGAGCCUUACCGGAGGCCACCACGCCCACGUCUCCUCCUGUGCAUGCUGCCAUGUGGGCUACAAGUGUUGGAGCUGCAGGAACAACAUUAUUGGCUUGCAAGGUUCGGCUCUUUGCUGUUUGCCUCCACUUGCUCUACACUUUGUUUGAAUUGUGUACGGUCGCUGUAGUUGGUAUAAAUGUAUAAUGCUGUUAUUGGAACUAAACAUUGCAAAAUUUUGGCAAUAUCUUGCAGGCUAAUUUCUUACCUGCUGGGCUUGCAGCAUCCAAUCUCAUUAUGUAUGCAUUUGUAUACACUUCACUGAAACAAAUACACCAUGUCAAUACAUGGGUGGGAGCAGUUGUUGAGGCCAUUCCGCCACUUCUAGGGUAUGUUACUGCCGAUGACACAUGUCUGGAUUGUCUAGGUGCAGGUUGAAGGGGGUAUUUCAUAUGUUGAAUAUUGGAGCUAGUCCUUCCUAAUUGUGAGUUUUGCCACCGUCUUGCGCUUUUUUGACCAAAGCACAUGCUUAAGCACAAUUAUGCGCAAUUAAACGCUAGGCGUUUUGCUAUUGGCUAGUGCCUAGGCUUGCCUUUUUUUUACUAUGGUUUAUACUCAAGACCAAACCAUAGCUACCUUCCUAGUUCAGUUGGGCUCUUAUUAAUUUAACUACACUUUUUGUAGUGGACCCAACUGUAAGCAUCAAACUGAUGAUACCGCUGCCAUGGAGGCUGUUCCAGGUCAUACAAUGACAUGUUAAGCAAGCAAAUAAAAAAAGGGGGUUGCUUAUAGGCAUCAUGGGCAGCACUCCUGUUUAUUUAUUGAAUGGAUCUGUGCAAUAUAUUUACAUGGCAUGGGGUCCUUAUUUAUCUUGAUACAUACAGGUGGGCAGCAGCAGCAUCUGAAGUGUCACUCAACUCUACGUUUCUGCCUGCUGCUUUGUACUUUUGGCAGUUACCACAUUUCAUGGCCCUUGCGUACUUAUGCCGUGACGACUACGUUGCUGGAGGGUAACGCAAAUAUCAAUUCCAACUGGUUAUUUUACCAGAUCUAGUGUAGAAGUUACAUCAAAAUGUUACAGGCCUUUACAUUGAUUGACUUGUUGAUUCAGGUACUGAAUGCUCUCUUUUGCUGAUCCUAGUGGUAAAAGAACUGCAUGGGUAUCACUCAGGAAUUGUCUCUACAUGUUGCCGUUGGGGUUACUUGCAUAUAACUGUAAGUAGUAAUCACGCAUAUUGGUUCUCUAAUUUCCAUUACUUGUAAUAAAAUUGGUCAAACAUGGGAUAUAUAAUCAUGGAUAUUGGGUAUUAAGUACCAAUAAUCAUGUAGGUUCUCUAAUAAUUUCCAUUUGCUUCUGCUUGUAACAAAUAAACUUGGUCAAACUUGAGAUGUUACUCAUGGAACUAACAAAUGCUUAAUCUGUAGGGGGGCUAACAUCUGGAUGGUUCAGUUUUGAAGCAUCAUUUCUAAUGACGGGCCUUACCAUUGGAGCCUUAUCAUUUGUACUGGAUCCUACUCACAAGAGUGCAAGAAGAAUGUUCCAUGGUAGCCUUUUGUAUCUUCCUGCAUUAAUGGCUGGACUUAUAUUGCAUCGGCUGCCUAACCAAUGAGACUAGUGAGAUUGUUGGGGUACUUUAUGUUGCUGAGCUGCGGAACGACAAAGAAAGUGCUAGAUAGAAACGGGAACAUUAUCAUGCUGAAUCACGCCCUCGAGUUGCCUAUGCUUAUGUAGCCCCAUUCCCCUUCUUACCUGUACCUGUGUACAUAUCUCCACAAGCUCAUGAGUUGUGAAAGUUCUAAUAUCCCAACAUUCCUUCCUUUUUGUCUGUUAUCAGGAAAUUCUUUUGAGCUCUUGACAAGAAUUGUUAAAAAAUUUCUGAGAAUGAUGAACGCAAUUUUUAGUCGGAAAAAACAUAAAAAACUUGAGCUGUCACGGGGAUUUCGCGGAAAUGCUCAUGAUUUGGAUAUUUUUUUGAACGCAAUGCGCAUGUGGAUAAUCUAGAUAUGAGAUGCAGGAUAAUCUAGGUAUGAGAUGCACACAUAGGAGGUUUUACUCAAGUUAGGGCCAUCUGUUCUAGUGGUAACACACUAUUGUUGGAUGUUUUCUCUGGUAUGAACAAUGUAGGAGAUGCUAUCUUGGCUUUGCCUUAUGUAGAGGGAAUACGGCAGCCGCAUUGCCGCUACAGUUGACGGGAUGGGACACAUGGGGAUGUCGCGCUGCUCCUCGAUUACCAUGUGUGGCGUGUGUAUUAUCAGUUGAUGGCGCAAUUUGCUGCCACGUGGUGGACGAUUCCUGUCUAUUUUGAAAGUGGAUUUUGAUUUCCCAUGAUAGUGGAGUUGCGAGGCCAGGAUGGUUAUUGUAGCAUUUUGAGUGAAGACAAUGAUUUUUCCAACUUAUAUUUCCGUCCAAGGAUGAGGGAGAUUGUCUACCAAUGAGACAAUGAACCUAUGGUGUGCACAUACAUGUGUUCCUACAUGGUCUGUAGUUCAAACUCCAAACAUACGUUGGCCAUACACAAUCUCCAUCGUCUGUUUUCCCAAAUGUUAUGGAUUGUUUAGAUUUCGAAGAAGAACAUGAUGACUUUCAAGAAAAGCAUGUAGAAACUCCGAGAAGCUAGCACACUAUUUUUAAGACUCUACUAGUUGACGUAGGAGAAUGUGAAGAGACAUGAAAGGCACUUGUAAAAGAUCCGCCAUUUCAAGUUACUCUUCCUUCCCCUAUGCAUCCCAUGUCUAAUGGCUUCAAAUGGACUCCCCUUUGAAGAAACAAAAUCUCAUUCCCGAGGCACUUGAUCCCCAGAUUCACUCUCUCAGGUUGCACUCUUCCACGAGCAGACUCAGAUUGUUGAGCACGAUUUGCAAUGCCUUGUGGCCAACUCAAUUGAUGCUCCCUCACCAUUCGUCCUUGUUUUCUUUCUCCUCUCCCACUUAUAUCGUGAUUCAAGAAGGGGAUUAGAUGCGGCAAGUAGUUGAUAGGCUUGAGUCACAUGAGGGAAGUAGGGAUGGUUCCGAAGGUGAGUGGGGAUAAAUUUAGUGGUAAAGGAGGAAAGUAUAUAUCACUGGAAGACGCAGAAAGUGUAUAUCGCGAGAUGUCUCAACUUGAACUACCAUGUGAAGCAAUUGGAAGAAAGAGAGAAGGUUAGGUAGAACGCAACGCUUGGUGUGAAGAACCUAAAUAGGCAAGACUGGAGGAUAAGGGGGUUAUGGGGAGUGGAGGGAGUUUAAAUGUAGAAGCAAUAUACUCUCUUAUUUUGGGACGGAGGGAGUAUUUCACAUGACCAUGCAUAUAAGCUCAGUUCUCCCACAUGGACAUUGUAAUCUUCAAUAUAGUCUGGUAUUAUAUUUCAUAAACGCUGACCUGAAUCAACAUCAAUAAACCCGAGGCGUGCAUUUAUCUAUUUUCUUUUCUUUUGCGGUGUUCAAUGGCGCCAUUACUUCACCAUGCAUUGGACUUGAAGGUCUUUAGGGGCUGGGAUGUACUGUGGUGCAGGUAAAGCAACAAAUAAACUUGUAACAAAUAAACUUGGUCAAACUUGAGAUGUUAAUCAUGGAACUAACAAAUGGUUAAUGCGUAGGGGGUAUAACAUCUGGAUGGUACGGUUUUGAAGCAUCGCUUCUAACAAAGGGCCUUACCAUUGGAGCCUUGUCAUUUGUAUUGGAUCCUACUCACAAGAGUGCAAGAAUAAUGUUCCAUGGUAGCCUUUUGUAUCUUCCUGCUUUACUGGUUGGACUUAUAUUGCAUCGGCUGCCUAACCAAUGAGACUAGCUAGUGAGAUCGCCGGGGUUCUUUGUGUUGCUGAGCUGCGGGACGACCAAGAAAGAGCUAGACAGAAACGGGAACAUUAUCGUGCUCAAUCACGCCCUCCAGUUGACUAUGCUUCUGUAGCCCCAUUCCCCUUCUUACCUGUACCCGUGUACAUAUCUCGACAAGCUUAUGAAUAAUGAAUGCCUUACUUAUCCUAGCAUUCCUUCCUUUUUUUCUGUUAUCGGGAAAUUCUUUUUCGCUCUUCCACAAGAAUGUUUCCUGCUCAAGGGAAAUCAUCUUUGUAUUGCUAAAAUAAAAUCGGAGAAUGAUGAACGUAUUUUUUAUUUGGAAAAAACAAAGUUGAGCUGUUGCGGGGGUUUCGCGGCAAUGCUCAUGAUUUGGGAAUUUUGUUGAAUGCAAUCUGCACAUGGCUAAUGUAGGUAUAGGAUGCACACAUAGGAGGUUCUACCCAAGUUAGGGCCACCUGUUCUAGUGCUAACACACUAUUGUUGGAUGUUUUUUCUCCUAUGAACAAUGUGGUUCCAGUAUGUAUCUCUUGAUCUUGUAAGUUUUGUCCAGAUUCUAUCCUUGCUUCGUCUUAUGUAGAGGGAAUACAACAGCCACAUUGCCGCUACAGUUGACUGGACGGGACAUGUGGGGAUGCCGCGCUGCACCUCGAUUACCAUGUGUGACGUGUGUGGAUUAUCAGUUGAUGGCUCAAUUAGCUUGCACGUAGUGGACGAUUCCUGUCCAGUUUGAAAGUUGGUUUUGAUUUCCCACGAUAGUGCCAAGAUGGCUAUUUCAACAUUUUAAGUGCAAUAUUCUGUAAAGACACAAAAGCAAUGAUUUUCUUCUAACUUGUAUUUCCGGCCAAGGAUGAGGGAGAUUGUCUACCUAUGGUGUACAUACAUACAGAUGUUCUGAAAUGGUGUCCAAGCAUACGUCAGUCAUACACAAGCUCCCUCCUCCUUGUUCCCAAAUGCUAUGGGUCGUUCAGAUUUAGAAGAAGAACAUACUAAAGCUCUGCGGAAGGUCAUUGAAACUCCAAGAAGCUAGCAGACUAUUUUUAAGACUAUACUAGUUUAUCCAUGAGAAUAUGAAGAGAUACGAAAGGAAUUUGUCAAAGAUCUGCCAUUUGUAGCUACUCUUCCUUUCCCUAUGCCUCCCAUGUCUAGUGGCUUGAAAUGGAUAUUCCCCUUGUGAAAAGUUUUUCUCAUUCUUGAGUCCCUUGAUCCCCUGAUUCAGUCCUUCAGGUUGCACUCCUCCAAGAGCAGACCCCAGACUGUUGAGCAGGCUGUGCACUCAAUUAAUGGGCAUGCUCCCUCACCAUCCGUUCUUGUUUUAUUUCUCCCCUCCCACUUAUAUCGCGAUUCAAGAAGGGGAUUAGAGAAGGCAAGUAGUAGAUAGGCUUGAGUCACACGAGGGAAGUAGAGAUUGAUCUGAAGGUGAGUGGUGAUAAAUUUAGUGGUAAAGGAGGAAAGUGUAUAUCAGACGUGGAAAGUAUAUAUCAUGAGAAGGUGUCUCAACUUGAACUACCAUGUGAAGUAACUGGAAGAAGAAAGGAGAGAAGGCUAGGUAGAGUUGAGAGCUUCAGAAAGUGUGAAGCUAAAUAGGUAGGACCAGNNNNNNNNNNNNNNNNNNNNNNNNNNNNNNNNNNNNNNNNNNNNNNNNNNNNNNNNNNNNNNNNNNNNNNNNNNNNNNNNNNNNNNNNNNNNNNNNNNNNNNNNNNNNNNNNNNNNNNNNNNNNNNNNNNNNNNNNNNNNNNNNNNNNNNNNNNNNNGGAGUGGGUGGAGUUUAAUUGUUGGAGUAAUAUAUUUCACAUGACCAUGCAUACAAAUCCAGUUCUGUCACAUGGACAUAGUACUAUUCUAUCUAGUAUGGUAUUAGUUCAAUCCUAUCUAUGAGCAACGUAAAAGAAAACUACAAAUAGUUAACCUGGCUCCUCGGUUGUAUUUGGUUUUCACAUCAACCACACAACUGCUCGCCGUGUUUUGCAUAUAGUUCGGCAAAAAAGGUCCUUCUGAUGGCUCACCUGACUUCUUGGUCGGGAUUGGACUUUGUGCCAAGGGUCCAUGACUAUCUUCAUGAAGCUUGAUCAUAGAAUGUUGUCGAUGACCAGACAAAGCCCUUUCCCGCCUUCGUACAACAUGAACCAUCGCCCACUCAGUUGCUGGGUGUUUCGAUCUACCUACCGGAGGGUAGGUAGACUUAAUUCCAAGUUUGAAUUAUUAAUUAUUAAUCCAAACUGGUUAUUACCAGAUCUACCUACUGUAGAAGUUACAUUAAAAUGUUACAGUCCUUUACAUUGAUUGACUUGUUGAUUCAGGUACCGAAAAUGCUCUCUUUUGCUGAUCCUACCGGUAAAAGAACCGCAUGGGUAUCACUCAGAAAUUGUCUCUACAUGCUGCUGUUGGGGUUAUUUGCAUAUAACUGUAAGUAGUAAUCAUGCAUAUAGGUUCUCUAAUUUCCAUUACUUGUAAUAAACUUGAGAUGUUACUCAUGGAACUAAAUAAUGCUUAAUUUGUAGGGGGUCUAACAUCUGAAUGGUUCAGUUUUGAAGCAUCGCUUCUAACGACGGGGCUUACCGUUGGAGCCUUAUCAUUUGUACUGGAUCGGUGGAUCCUACUCACAAGAGUGCAAGAAGAAUGUUCCAUGCAUGGUAGUCUUUUGUAUCUUCCGGCUUUAAUGGCUGGACAUAUAUUGCAUCGGCUGCCUAGCUAACGAACACAAGGAGCAGCAUAACAUCCAUGCAUCAGACUAGUGAGAUUGCUGGGGUUCUUUGUGGUGCUGAUGCUGAGCUGCGGGACGAUGAGGAAAGAGCUAGACUGAAACGGGAACAUUCUCGUGCUCAAUCGCGGCCUGCAGUUGCCUAUGCUUCUGUAGCCCCAUUCCCUUAUUACCCGUACCCAUGUACAUAUCUCCACAAGCUAAUGAGUUAUGAAAGCUUUACUUAUGCCAGAAUUCCUUCCUUUUUGUUUGGUGUCCAGAAAUUAUUUUUCGCACGUGACAAGAAUUUUUCCCGCUCAAGGGAAAUCCUCUUUGUAUUUGUUAACAUAAAACUGAGAAUGAUGAACACAUUUUUAUUUGGAAAAAAUUUAAAGUUGAGCUGUAGGGAGGAUUUUGCGGCAAUACUCGUGAUUUGAGAAUUUUGUAAAUAAUGUCCAUGUGCAGUUGUGCACUAGAUAUAUAAUCUAGGUAUGGGAUGCACACACUGGAGGUUUUACACUUUUACUCAAGUUAGGGCACUAGUAGAAAACAUGACAUAUGUUCGGGCCAGAUAAGCCCAUUAGUCCCGGUUCUGUCACGAACUGGGACCCAUGGGCCCAUUGGUCCCGGUUUGUGAGGCCAGGGGGCCUGCCGGGCCUCGUGGCGGCAUUGGUCCCGGUUUGUCUGGGCCAUUUGGUCCCGGUUGGUGGGACGAACCGGGACCAAUGGGCCUCGCUCCUAGCCCAGCACCAUUGGUACCGGUUGGUGGCUUGAACCGGGACCAAAGGGUGGCCUUUAGUCCCGGUUCAUGCCACAAACCGGGACCAAUGAGCUGCCUAUAUAUACCCCUCGCCCGCGAGCAGAGCACUCCACUGCUCUGUUUUUCUGGCAGGCUGUUGGAGAGCUUUAUGGUGCUCUAGCUCACCUCCUAUGCACAUGAGGUGUUCGAUGGAAUGCCCGAGCCACACUACUUAAGCUUUCCUUCUCCAAGCUCGACCUUCAAGCUUCAUUUUCCUCAAUAUUUUUCUAGGUCUAGCGGUCCGUCACGUCCCGUCUCCGUCUUCAUCGCCGUCGAUCGCCUACGCCGAUCUCGUCGCCGGCACCACCGUGGUGAGCCUCUUGUUCUUAUUUUCUUUCUAAAAGGAAAAAAUUCUUACUUGUAUGUUUAUAUAGAUACUUGUAUAAUUUUCUUAUUUUUAUUAUUGCUUCUUUUUAUUUAGUGCGAUGGUUUUGGUAUCCGCCCCCGUCGGCCCUCGUCUUAUCUAUGAUUCGGAUGUGGUAUAUCUUAUCUUUAUAAUUAUUUGGUUCAUUUAUUGUUUAUUGCAAUUAUGCCGACCAACGUGACAUAGAUUUUAUUUAUCUAGGAGGUAUCUAAACCGGAAAUUCUAACCCACCCUAUUGUCGAGAGGUUAAAUUUAGUUGAAGAAGAAAACAAUUUCUUGAAGGAAAAAAUAAAAAAUUGAGGAGGAGAAGAUGAUAUUGGAGUUGCAUGUUGCGGAUGCCGUUGAUGAUCACAAGAUCAAGAUGGAUGCAAUACGCUUGAAGAUUAGAAAAAUUAGAAAAUAUGCCAUUCAUACCGAGGCUUGGUAUCAUUAUGCCGUUGGAUCAAUUGUUACCUUGGUUGCGAUUAUGAUCGCAUUUGUUUUCGCAUUGAAAUGUUUGACAUAGAUUCAAUAUAUGGUUUAAUUAAUUAGAUGCUCUGGAGAGCUAUAUGUUGUUCAACGAGAACUAUGUAUGUGCGUUGGUUUUAAUGCGAUGAUAAACUUCUAUUAAUUUGGUCACUUAAUUAUCUAUUCAUGAUGUUCUGUAAUGGUUUUUGACACACUUAUAUAUAUAAACCGGCAAUGGAUGUAAGGUGACAGACACACCUCCGAGUACAUUAAGGGCAUGCAUGGUUUCCUCGAAAUGGCUGAGGCAAACAAGCAGAAUGGUUUUAUGUGUUGUCUAUGACCUAUCUGUGAGAAUACGAAGUCUUACUCUAAUCGGAAAAUCCUUCACAUCCACCUACUUGAGAAGGGUUUCAUGCCACACUAUAAUGUUUGGACCAAGCACGGAUAAAUAGGGCUUGUGAUGGAAGACAACGAAGAAGAAGAGUACAAUGACAACUAUGUGCCCCCUGAAUACGGUGAUGCUGCAACAGGGGAAGCUGUUGAAGAUCAAGAGGAACCAGACGAUGGGCCCGAUGAUGAUCUCCGCCGGGUCAUUGUUGAUGCAAGGUGUCAGAAAGUGAAAAGAAGAAGGUGAAGUUCGAUCGCAUUCUAGAUGAUCACAAAAAAGGUUUUUACCCUAAUUGCGAAGAUGGCAACACAAAGCUCGGUGUCGUACUGGAAUUGCUGCAGUGGAAGGCAGAGAAUGAUGUGUCUGACAAAGGAUUUGAGAAGCUACUGAAAAUAUUGAAGAAGAAGCUUCCAAAGGAUAACGAAUUGCCCGACAGUACGUAUGCAGCAAAGAAAGUUGUUUGCCCUCUAGGAUUGGAGGUGAAGAAGAUACAUGCAUUCCCUAAUGACUGCAUCCUGUACCGUGGUGCGUAUGAGGAUUUGAACACAUGCCCGGUAUGCGAUGCAUUUUGGUAUAAGAUCAGACGAGAUGACCCUGGUGAUGUUGAUGGUGAGCGCCCCCGAAAGAGGGUUCCUGCCAAGGUGAUGUGGUAUGCUCAUAUAAUACCACAGUUGAAACGCCUGUUUAGAAACAGAGAGCAUGCCAAGUUGAUGCGAUGGCACAGAGAUGAUCAUAAGAAAGAAGGGAAAUUGAGAGCACCAGCUGAUGGGUCGCAGUGGAGAAAAAUCGAAAGAAAGUACUGGGAGGAGUUUGCAGCUGACGCAAGGAACAUAUGGUUUAGUUUAAGCGCGGAUGGCAUUAAUCCUUUCGGGGAGCAGAGCAGUAAUCACAGCACCUGGCCCAUGACUCUAUGUAUCUAUAACCUUCCUCCUUGGCUGUGCAUGAAGCGGAAGUUCAUUAUGAUGCCAGUUCUCAUCCAAGGCCCUAAGCAACCCGCCAACAACAUUGAUGUGUACCUAAGGCCAUUAGUUGAAGAACUUUUACAGCUGUGGAUUGGAAACGGUGUACGUGCGUGGGAUGAGCACAAACAGGAGGAAUUUGACAUGCAUGCGUUGCUGUUUGUCACCAUCAAUGAUUGGCCUGCUCUCAGUAACCUUUCAGGACAGACAAACAAGGGAUACCAUGCAUGCACGCACUAUUUAGAUGACACCGAAAGUAUAUACCUGGACAAAAGCAGGAAGAAUGUUUACCUGGGGAAUCGUCGAUUCCUUCCGACCAAUCAUCAAUUUCGAAAGAAAGGCAAGCACUUCAAAGGUGAGGCAGGUCACCGGAAGAAGACCGCCAUGCGUACCGGUGAUCACGUACUUGCUAUGGUCAAUGAUUUAAAAGUAAUCUUCGGAAAUGGUCCCAGCGGACUAUGUGUUCUGAAAAAUACUGAGGGACACACACCCAUGUGGAAGAAGAAAUCUAUAUUUUGGGACCUACCCUACUAGAAAGACCUAGAGGUCCGCUCUUCAAUCGACGUGAUGCACGUGAUGAAGAACCUUUGCGUGAACCUGCUAGGCUUCUUGGGCGUGCACGGGAAGAUAAAAGAUACAGUGGAGGCACGGGAGGACCUGCAACAUUUGCACAAAAAAUACGGCAUGCCUCCAAAGCAGUAUGAAGGUCCUGCCAGCUACGCUCUUACCAAAGAAGAGAAAGAAAUCUUCUUUGAAUGCCUACUCAGUAUGAAGGUCCCGUCUGGCUACUCGUCGAAUAUAAAGGGAAUAAUAAAUAUGGCAGAGAAAAAGUUCCAGAACCUAAAGUAUCAUGACUGCCACGUGAUUAUGACGCAACUGCUUCCGUUUGCAUUGAGGGGGCUUCUACCGGAAAAUGUUUGAUUAGCCAUUGUGAAGCUAUGUUCAUUCCUCAAUGCAAUCUCUCAGAAGGUGAUUGAUCCAGAAAUCGUACCAAAGUUAAGGAGUGAUGUGGCGCAAUGUCUUCUCAGUUUCGAGCUGGUGUUCCCACCAUCCUUCGUCAAUAUCAUGACGCACGUCCUAGUUCAUCUAGUCGAUGAGAUUAUCGUUCUGGGCCCUGUAUUUCUACACAAUAUGUUCCCCUUUGAGAGAUUCAUGGGAGCCCUAAAGAAAUAUUUACGUAACUGUGCUAGGCCAGAAGGAAGCAUCUCCAUGGGACAUCCAACAAAGGAUGUCAUUGGGUUUUGUGUUGACCUCAUUCCUGACCUUAAGAAGAUAGGUCUCCCUCAAUCGUGGUAUGAGGGGAGACUGUAUGGAAAAGGCACGCUAGGAGGGGACUCAAUAGUAUGUAGGGACGGGCAUUCUUGGUCUCAAGCACACUACACGGUUCUACAGAAUUCUACCUUGGUGACCCCGUAUGUCGGUGAACACAAGAGCAUUCUGCGCUCCAAACACCCGGACCAGCGUGAGGACUGGAUUACAUGUGAACACGUCUCAGGUGUGACAAAACUGUUUCUGAUGACCUGUACUCGUUGGCAAGGGAACCAUCUUCGACUGUAAUGACCUACAAAGGGUACGAGAUAAAUGGGAAUACAUUUUACACGAUCGCCCAAGAUCAAAAGAGCACCAACCAAAACAGUGGUGUCCGCUUUGAUGCAGCAACCAAGAGGGGAAAGGACACAUAUUAUGGUUACAUAGUGGACAUAUGGGAACUUGACUAUGGAAAUGAUAUUAAGGCCCUUUGUUUAAGUGCAAACGGGUCAAUACGUUAGGAGGCGGGGUACAGGUAGACCCACAGUACGGAAUGACAUCAGUGGAUCUUAACAAUCUAGGGUACACAGACGAGCCAUUCGUCCUAGCCAAUGAUGUGGCGCAUGUUUUCUAUGUGAAGGACAUGUCUACCAAACCGAGAAAAAGAAAAGAUAAGGAAGCGGAUACAUCAUACGAUGAGCCAAAGCGCCACAUAGUUAUUUCAGGAAAAAGAGACAUCAUGGGAUUGGAGGGCAAGACAGACGUGUCUGAAGAUUAUGAAAAGUUUCAUGAAAUUCCUCCCUUCAAAGUCAAGGCUGACCCAAGCAUCAUGUUAAACGAUGAAGAUUAUCCAUGGUUACAGCAUAAUAAGCAAAGAACACAAGCGAAGAAAAAGUUAAGACUUUCUAUCAACAACUAUUAUGAUGAUGCGUUUGAUGUAGAAUAUCACUGCAGUUACAUUUAAACAAAUGAAAUCCCUUUGUAACAGAUGAGUUUUCGUCUGAAACCCUGAUACUUCCAAAGAGAUUGUCUGUUUUGUACACGAAGUGCAUCCAGUUUUUGUUGUAACCAUCUCAACUUUUUAGCACAUGCUAUGUGGGUGAAAUGAUGAUAUCAUACCAACUUUCAACCUUUCUAGAGUUCAUUUGUAGUGCUUUUUAAUAUAAAGGUCAUUUAUCUCAAAUAAUGUACUAAUAGCAAAAAGAAUGAACUAAUAGCAAAAAGAAUGAACUAAAAGCAAACAGAAUGAACUAAUAGUAAAAAGAAUGAACUAAAAAUAAUUAAUUAAAAUAUUCUGUUAUGAUCAACUAAAACAAAACUAUCAUAUACUUCAAUAGCAAAAAGAAUCAACUAAAAAGCUUUUAUAAAACUCCAAUAGCAAAAGGAAUCAACUCAAAAAACUUUUAUAAACCUCUAGUAUUAUUGAAACUAAAAUUAUAUAAGAUUUAUGCAACCAAAAUUAUCAAAUUAUUUUCUGUUCAAAACAUUAAAAGAAAAAAGAAUUUUCAUAAAGAAUUUCUUUUGUUAGAAACUUUAAUAGCAAAAAGAAUUAUCAUAAAGACUUUUUGUGUUAGAAACUAAAAUAACAAAAUCUGUUUUUGAAUAUAAUGAUAAAACAAAGUAAUAUUAAACCGCAGGAAAAAGUUUAUAUUUUUUAUUACCUAAAAGCCAAAGGAAAUAAAAAAUAAAGCAAAAAAAUAGAAAAUAAAUAACGCAAAAAACAGAAAAAAAA